UACGGAGGAUGCGAGCGUUAUCCGGAUUUAUUGGGUUUAAAGGGUGCGUAGGCGGCUUUUUAAGUCAGCGGUGAAAUUUUGCAGCUUAACUGUAACAGCGCCGUUGAUACUGGGGAGCUAGGAUUUGGUUGCUGUGGGUGGAAUGUGUGGUGUAGCGGUGAAAUGCUUAGAGAUCACACAGAAUAUCGAUUGCGAAGGCAGCUCACAAAGCCAAGAUUGACGCUGAGGCACGAAAGUGUGGGGAGUCAAACAGGAUUAGA
rnacentral:rRNA from 1 species